GGCCCCGUCGUCUAGCGGCCUAGGACGUCGGCCUCUCAAGCCGGUAACGCCAGUUCGAAUCUGGUCGGGGCUG
rnacentral:tRNA from 1 species